rnacentral:piRNA from 1 species
UAAGGAAGACACAGCUUUGCUGCAGCUGUU